rnacentral:tRNA from 3 species
GGAGAGAUGUCCGAGUGGUCGAAGGAGCACGCCUGGAAAGUGUGUAAACGUCACAAGCGUUUCGGGGGUUCGAAUCCCCUUCUCUCCU